UCGAGAAUCUUCCGCAAUGGGCGAAAGCCUGACGGAGCGACGCCGCGUGCAGGAUGAAGGCUCUUGGGUCGUAAACUGCUUUUAUUGAGGAGGAAGUUUUGACGUUACUCAAUGAAUAAGAGGCUCCUAAUCCCGUGCCAGCAGGAGCGGUCAUACGGAAGCCUCAAGCAUUAUCCGGAAUCACUGGGCGUAAAGGGUGCGUAGGCGGUUAUGUUAGUCUUCUGUGAAAGCCCGGGGCUCAACCUCGGAUCCGCGGAGGAUACGGCAUAACUUGAGGGUGAGAGAGGUGUGCGGAACUCAUGGUGUAGGGGUGAAAUCCGUUGAUAUCAUGGGGAACACCGAAAUGCGAAGGCAGCACACUGGCUCACUCCUGACGCUGAGGCACGAAAGCGUAGGGUAGCGAAUGGGAUUAGAUACCCCAGUAGUCCACGCCCUAAACGAUGUCCGCUAGCUUUGGGGAGUAUCGACCCUCUCCGAGGCGAAGCUAA
rnacentral:rRNA from 1 species